rnacentral:lncRNA from 1 species
GAAUAUGGAUGUGGAAGUGAAGCUGUAUAUGUGUUGCACAUGUGCAAUGUUCUUGAAUUGUGCACUUGCAUCAUUUUUAAUUGCAUGACAUAAUAUUGAAGAUGGUUUAUAUGAUUGAAAAUCCGUUCAAGCAAGAUAUGCAAAGUAUAAUUCAGUUUUUAAUGGCAGAGGGAUGCAAGCCAGUGGUACUAAUGGGUACCUCAUAUGCUGAUUGAAACCACAAGGAACAGCAAUGAAUCUCAACUUGCAACGUUUGAUGCACUACUGCAAUGAGGACGAAUGCAUCACACCGCAUAAUGAUGUUUCACCACUAUGCAUCACAGGAAUUGUUCAAUCAUACAAGCUAUCUUCAACGUUAUGUCACGCAUUGGAGAAUGUUGCAAGUGCAUAGUUUUGGAACACUGCACAUGUUCAACACAUACAGCUUUAUUUUACUGUCCCUGUUCCAAAAUUGAAAUGUCAACUCGUCACAUGGUGCAUUUCGAAUGGGUUUCAUUCGAACACAUCUUAUACAUAUUCAUG